UCCCCCCCGGGCCAGAGAUGAGGGGUUCAGGGUUCAGGUCAGAGUCAUUCCUGCUUCAUGGAUAUGCUUCUGGUUUGUUUUGUUUCUAUGAAGCUUUAUUUCAGAGGAAUCAUUUGAAACUCUAACAGGAUCUUUUAAUAGCUACAGAACCAUCAAUAGUUUGGAUUACAAAGAGACGCAUACAAUAAACCAUAAAACAAUAACAACAACAAAGGCCACAUCAUUUCAUGUUUCAUUAAAUAUGUUCAUUUAUGAUAAACAGAAUAUAUUAGUAUGCAUUACACGAGACAUCACACAACCAUGGGCACAGACGCUACAAGACAAUUUACAAGCCAAACACUAGCAGGUCAAAUGGUUACAAAUCAUUGGUGCCGGUUUCUGUCUGCAAGUACCCCUCUCUAAAACCUCUCUCAUUGGUCCUCCUGGGUAGAGUGAUAUUUACUGUGUUUUAUGGAUUUCGUGUGUGUAAAUAUAUAUAUACAAUUUCCAUUAAUAUGCCUACAGUAUUUAAAAAAAGACCCUUGUUAAUAACUGAAUGGAUAUAGAUCUAUUAAACAACAUCAACAACGACAACAGAAAUACUAUACAGCUAUAUCACACGUAGAUUGAGAAGGAUUUCCAGGUCUUUCCGUCCCAAGUCACAUCUAGGGAAUGGAAUGCUCAUCAGGAAGUCCUUAUAAGGUUGACACCUUUCCGUCCCGCCCCACCCUUCAUAUUGAGGGCGGGCUCUUGUGUGACUAGUGGGAAUGUCUUUGAUUUGACGACUACUCAGUCCCAUAGGGGUUGUGUACAUUUUCAAACAUCCAACAUGUUUUACAAUCCCAGCUAGCUCGAGACAGUGAGCAUUGGCAUGCCACUGGUAUGCUGGCUGUGCGAUGGGUCUACACUUUCUACAUUCUUUAUUCAAACAUGUCUCAGGUAGCUUCCUGACUGUUGUCGACUGAAAAGCGAACAAGGGUUUCCACAACGUGGCCCAUGCCCAAUUUUGGGAAAAUCUCGUCUUGCAACGUGUGAACGUAUCUGAUACGUUCAGAGGACAAAUACUUGUGGUGUCUGAUCAAUAAGUGCCUGGUUAACUGCUCUAUCGCCCCUCCGCCGACUCCAUCGACUGAUGCUGCAACAGGGACGUCUAAAGGAACAAGUGGUUAGCCUUCACGGCGUAGUUGCCACAGCGGAUCUCUACGGCCGCUGUCUCUACGUUAUGAUCUCCAACAGGUAGCCCAUAAUAAUAAGCAGCAGCUAAAUGAUGAUCCGUGAGUUGGAUGGCAUGGCAUCAGGUGAGUUGAGGUAUAUAAUCUCUGGUGGCCCCUGCUGUGUGUCUUCUCCUGCUAACCUUCUCCCUCCUCCUACCCUCGUGGGACCACACUUAAAAACACUUUGUUAUUACUGUAAUACUUAAAAACAUGUUUAACCAGAGCCGGGGGGUAGUCUUUAGAUGUGGUUCACCAUACCACCUCGUUACACAUCUCUACUUAUUUCUACCGCAAACAAACACAGACACGAAAACAGUAGGAAAACAAAGAGCUUCCAGAACGUGGAGUGGCAGGCUUACAGUAGAGGCAGCAGAGCAAAGUGUUUCACGGAGAAGAGGAAAGGGCUCUGGGACAUUUAGGUACAAACUCUGGAGGUCGGAAAAGAAGAAAUUAAAUAUAUGUUGAACCUUAAAAAGAACCAGAUAAACAGACCGGACUGUGGAUGAAGUCAUGAAUGUCAUGAAACUAUUCCUGCUGUUAAUCUGACCGGAUGCACCAGCAUUCACCCGUUCACCAUCUAGCCACCUCCCCCUGUUUCACAACAUCGUUUUAUCAUCUCUCUAGUUGGUGUGUUCCCUUUCUCCUCCUCCACCACCACCUCCUCCUCCUCAUGCACUGCCCAGAAACAUCACCCCUCCUCCCCCAACAACCCAUCCUCUCCCCCACCCUUCCCCCUUCUCUCCCAUAAUUUCUC
ensembl:lncRNA